GAAGUUUACUGAUGGAGUCAGAGGGGGAAAAAUUUUACAGCCCAGUGGUGAGACUCUCCUGCAAAGCCUCUGGUUUCACCUUUACUGGUUACAGCAUGAGCUUGGUCCAGCAUGCUUCACAACAGGGAUAGGUGUGGGUGCCAACAGUGAGUGAUCAAGUAUGAAUUCUCAGGGUUACUCUCCAUGAGUACAAAUAAAUUAACAAUCUCAAGCAACACCCUUUUAAGUGCAGUCUGCCUUACAAUGACCAAUCUGAAAGCCAAGGACAAGGUCAUGUAUUACUGUGAGUGA
rnacentral:lncRNA from 1 species